GAUGAACGCUGGCGGCGUGCUUAACACAUGCAAGUCGAACGGAAAGGCUCCUGCUUGCAGGGGUACUCGAGUGGCGAACGGGUGAGUAACACGUGGGUGAUCUGCCCUGCACUUCGGGAUAAGCCUGGGAAACUGGGUCUAAUACCGGAUAGGACCACAUUUUGGAUGGUGUGGUGGAAAGUUUUUCGGUGUGGGAUGAGCACGCGGCCUAUCAGCUUGUUGGUGGGGUAAUGGCCUACCAAGGCGUCGACGGGUAGCCGGCCUGAGAGGGUGUACGGCCACAUUGGGACUGAGAGACGGCCCAGACUCCUACGGGAGGCAGCAGUGGGGAAUAUUGCACAAUGGGCGCAAGCCUGAUGCAGCGACGCCGCGUGGGGGAUGACGGCCUUCGGGUUGUAAACUCCUUUCGCUAGGGACGAAGCGCAAGUGACGGUACCUGGAGAAGAAGCACCGGCUAACUACGUG
rnacentral:rRNA from 1 species